rnacentral:rRNA from 1 species
ACGCAGGCGGUUUGUUAAGUCAGAUGUGAAAUCCCCGGGCUCAACCUGGGAACUGCAUCUGAUACUGGCAAGCUUGAGUCUCGUAGAGGGGGGUAGAAUUCCAGGUGUAGCGGUGAAAUGCGUAGAGAUCUGGAGGAAUACCGGUGGCGAAGGCGGCCCCCUGGACGAAGACUGACGCUCAGGUGCGAAAGCGUGGGGAGCAAACAGGAUUAGAUACCCUGGUAGUCCACGCCGUAAACGAUGUCGACUUGGAGGUUGUGCCCUUGAGGCGUGGCUUCCGGAGCUAACGCGUUAAGUCGACCGCCUGGGGAGUACGGCCGCAAGGUUAAAACUCAAAUGAAUUGACGGGGGCCCGCACAAGCGGUGGAGCAUGUGGUUUAAUUCGAUGCAACGCGAAGAACCUUACCUGGUCUUGACAUCCACGGAAGUUUUCAGAGAUGAGAAUGUGCCUUCGGGAACCGUGAGACAGGUGCUGCAUGGCUGUCGUCAGCUCGUGUUGUGAAAUGUUGGGUUAAGUCCCGCAACGAGCGCAACCCUUAUCCUUUGUUGCCAGCGGUCCGGCCGGGAACUCAAAGGAGACUGCCAGUGAUAAACUGGAGGAAGGUGGGGAUGACGUCAAGUCAUCAUGGCCCUUACGACCAGGGCUACACACGUGCUACAAUGGCGCAUACAAAGAGAAGCGACCUCGCGAGAGCAAGCGGACCUCAUAAAGUGCGUCGUAGUCCGGAUUGGAGUCUGCAACUCGACUCCAUGAAGUCGGAAUCGCUAGUAAUCGUGGAUCAGAAUGCCACGGUGAAUACGUUCCCGGGCCUUGUACACACCGCCCGUCACACCAUGGGAGUGGGUUGCAAAAGAAGUAGGUAGCUUAACCUUCGGGAGGGCGCUUACCACUUUGUGAUUCAUGACUGGGGUGAAGUCGUAACAAGGUAACCGUAGGGGAACCUGCGGUUGGAUCACCUCCUUACCUUAAAGAAGC